GAUGAAGAACGUAACGAAAUGCGAUAAGUAAUGUGAAUUGCAGAAUUCAGUGAAUCAUCGAAUCUUUGAACGCACAUUGCGCCCGCCAGUAUUCUGGCGGGCAUGCCUGUUCGAGCGUCAUUUCAACCAUCAAGCCCCCGGGCUUGUGUUGGGGACCUGCGGCUGCCCGCAGGCCCUGAAAACCAGUGGCGGGCUCGCUGUCACACCGAGCGUAGUAGCAUCAUCUCGCUCAGGGCGUGCUGCGGGUUCCGGCCGUUAAAAAGCCUCUAAUACCCAAGGUUGACCUCGGAUCAGGUAGGAAGACCCGCUGAACUUAAGCAUAUCAAUAAGCGGAGGA
rnacentral:misc_RNA from 1 species